GAUGAACGCUAGCGGCAGGCCUAACACAUGCAAGUCGAGGGGUAGCAGGAUUAAGCUUGCUUAAUUGCUGACGACCGGCGCACGGGUGCGUAACGCGUAUGCAACCUACCUUAUACUGGGGUAUAGCCCGGAGAAAUUCGGAUUAAUCCCCCAUAGUACUAAUGAAUCGCAUGGUUUAUUAGUUAAAGCAUUGCGGUAUAAGAUGGGCAUGCGUCCUAGUAGCUAGAUGGUGAGGUAACGGCUCACCAUGGCUACGAUAGGUAGGGGGCCUGAGAGGGUGGUCCCCCACGCUGGUACGGAGGCACGGACCAGACUCCUACGGGAGGCAGCAGUGAGUAAUAUUGGUCAAUGGGCGCAAGCCUGAACCAGCCAUGCCGCGUGCAGGAAGAAUGCCCUAUGGGUUGUAAACUGCUUUUAUUUGGGAAUAAACCUCUUUACGUGUAGAGAGCUGAAGGUACCAAAUGAAUAAGCACCGGCUAACUCCGUGCCAGCAGCCGCCGUAA
rnacentral:rRNA from 1 species